AAUUGUAUUUGGAGAAGACCCCGUUGCACUGUGGGAUAUUACAUGCUCAGAGAGUGGAAGAAAGUAAUAAAAUGGCGUUGUAGUGUGCUUGUUACUUAUACAAACGUGUGGUGUGCCUACGUGUUCUCGGAUGUACCGCAAAGCCAGUGU